rfam:Ictidomys tridecemlineatus contig017477, whole genome shotgun sequence.
UGGGUUGUGGCUCAGUGGUAGAGCACUUGCCUAGAAUGCAUGAAGCACUGAGUUCAAUCCUCAGCACCACAU